AUGGUGGUGGGCAGAGCAGCGGGCGGAGCAACGGGGGGCGGGAAGAAGAAGGACAAGUUCGCUGGUGGCGGUGCGUCCUCUUCUCUAACCCGGGAGGAGCGAGAAGACAUGCUAGAUGCUUUAAUUGAGAAGGAAGUUCAGAAGAGGAUGAACAAAUUUAAGGGGAAGAGUCGGGACAAGUUUGAGCUCUCGGUAGAAGAUGCAGGGCUGCGAUUGAAGAUUGCCAAAGAGGAGCAGACAUCACUUUCGACCUUACCCAGAUUUGAGCUUGACAUCGACUGUGAUAUUUUGGAGUACAUUAAUCUUCUGAAAGAUAGAAUGUUUCAUCACUGA
rnacentral:rRNA from 1 species